CCACAGAUCGCGAUGGCUGCGGACAGCCGUUCUACAAUAUAACGGCUCAGCGCGUGCACCCCGUGCAUUAUGUAACCAAGGUGACCUAUCCUAUCUUUCUACUGAUCUGCACUGUCGGCAAUACGCUGAGCUUGAUUCUUCUGGGUCGCAAUUCACGCCAGCUACAAAGCGGCAAAUGGAUUUUGGUUAUGGCGUUGGCAUUCUCGGAUUUAAUGUAUAUGUAAGAGUCAAACACUUAGGUGGGCUCAGUUUUUCCCCUUCAUUACUACGGUAGCAACGCUACCUCCCACAUCAGGGUUCAUUAGUUUUGUUCGAGCUAUCGGAGGAAUCUGCACAUUCUUGAAAGAGGCAUUCAUAACAAGUUCCGACUGGAUCCUCGUGACCUUUAGCGUUCAACGAUUCUCGGGGACAUUUUUCCCUUCUUGUUAUGCGGGAUUCUCGAGAAAAGUGUCUGCGAGACGAGGAAUAUCAC